UACAGAGGUCUCAAGCGUUGUUCGGAUUCAUUGGGCGUAAAGGGUGCGUAGGCGGCGCGGUAAGUCGGAUGUGAAAUCUCGGAGCUUAACUCCGAAACUGUAUUCGAUACUGCCGUGCUUGAGGACUGGAGAGGAGACUGGAAUUUACGGUGUAGCGGUGAAAUGCGUAGAUAUCGUAAGGAAGACCAGUGGCGAAGGCGGGUCUCUGGACAGUUCCUGACGCUGAGGCACGAAGGCCAGGGGAGCAAACGGG
rnacentral:rRNA from 1 species